rnacentral:piRNA from 1 species
UCCAACUGCAGCUCAUUCUGUUAGAGUUCC